GCCUCCACGGCCUACCAACCCCUCUCUCACUUUCAAGCAAUUUUACAACACCAAACAACAUCAAGAUGAAUCUUUC
rnacentral:ribozyme from 1 species